rnacentral:rRNA from 1 species
CACGUAGGCACCAAGCGUUAUCCGGAUUUAUUGGGCGUAAAGAGCUCGUAGGCGGUUCGGUAAGUCCGCUGUGAAAGUCCAGGGCUCAACCCUGGGAUGCCGGUGGAUACUGUCGGGCUCGAGUCCGGAAGAGGCGAGUGGAAUUCCUGGUGUAGCGGUGAAAUGCGCAGAUAUCAGGAGGAACACCGGUGGCGAAGGCGGGUCUCUGGGCCGAUACUGACGCUGAGGAGCGAAAGCGUGGGGAGCGAACAGG